rnacentral:rRNA from 1 species
UACGGGGGGGGCAGGCGUUGUUCGGAAUUACUGGGCGUAAAGGGCUCGUAGGCGGCCAACUAAGUCAGACGUGAAAUCCCUCGGCUUAACCGGGGAACUGCGUCUGAUACUGGAUGGCUUGAGUUUGGGAGAGGGAUGCGGAAUUCCAGGUGUAGCGGUGAAAUGCGUAGAUAUCUGGAGGAACACCGGUGGCGAAGGCGGCAUCCUGGACCAACACUGACGCUGAGUGAGCGAAAGCCAGGGGAGCAAACGGG